AGAACGAACGCUGGCGGCGCGUUUAAGCAUGCAAGUCGAGCGGCAAGGGCCUUCGGGCCCUAGAGCGGCGGACGGGUGAGUAACACGUGGACAAUCUGCCCCCGGCCCGGGAUAGCCCAGGGAAACCUGGAUUAAUACCGGAUGAGACGGGACCCGCGAUGGCGGGACCCGGGAAAGGCGCUGCGGCGCCGCCGGGGGAUGAGUCUGCGUCCCAUUAGCUAGACGGCGGGGUAACGGCCCACCGUGGCGACGAUGGGUAGCCGGCCUGAGAGGGUGGACGGCCACAUUGGAACUGAGACACGGUCCAGACUCCUACGGGAGGCAGCAGCUAAGAAUCUUCCGCAAUGGGCGAAAGCCUGACGGAGCGACGCCCGCGUGAACGAAGAAGGCCGUGAGGUUGUAAAGUUCUUUUCGGGAGGGGGAACAACCGUGGCAGGGAAUGGCCGCGGGAUGACGUGAAUCCCGGAAUAAGCCCCGGCUAACUACGUGCCAGCAGCCGC
rnacentral:rRNA from 1 species